rnacentral:lncRNA from 1 species
CCAGCUGUCAGUCUGGAGUCUGUGAGCUCCCACUAGCUCAGAUCAGCUGUUUCUGAGGCAUGGUCUUGACCCCUUUGCUUAUCACUCCUCCCUCUUUACAACUGGACUCCAGGUGUUCAGCCUAGUGCUUAGCUGUGAAUCUCUGCUUCUGCUUUCAUCAAUUACUGGAUGAAGGCUUUAUGAUGACAAAUAAGGUAGUCAUCAAUCUGAUUAUAGGAGGAAGGGCAUUUAAGGUAGCCUAUCCACUAUUGCUGAGAUUCUUAGGUGGGGUCAUCCUUGUGGAUUCCCUGGAAUUUUCCUAGUGUUAGGUUUCUCCUUAACCCCAUAAUGGCUUCCUCUAUUGGGCUGGAGGGAUGGCUGAGACAUUAAAGGAUAGGCUCACAACCAAAAAUAUAAGAGGGAAGCAUGCUCCAUGAUGGGAGCAUAGACCAAGACAGUAAGCACAGCUCUCAGUCCUGGUGGUAAACGUACCCCAUCCAUUUUGGAAAGACAGUGACUAAAAUAUAGGUUGCUUUAAUUUUUCUUUUGACAGGGAUUCUCUGUGUAGCUUUGGAGCCUAUCCUGGCACUUGCUCUGGAGACUAGACAGGCCUCGAAUUCACAGAGAUCCACCUGCCUCUCCCUCCCGAGUGCUGGGAUUAAAGGUGUGUACCACCAACACCCGUCUGCCACUUUAAUUUUAGCAAUGUUGUUUAGCAGAUAAAAGACCAUGUGGCCAGAACAACGUAGAUUUACAGUAAAGACAGAUUCAGAUGAAGAAAAACCCCAGAAGGUUUACAAUGUUUUAAAAAAUAUACAUAGUAUUAUAAGAGAAAAAUAAACAGGAUAAAUAAUUGAAAGAAAUAAAGAGGCAGUGUGGUGAUGCUGCACGCCUUUAUUCUCAGCACUCCAGAGCAGAGUCAGCUGAAUUUUUACAGAAAAACCCUGUCUCAGGAAAAAAGAAAAAGAAAGAAGGAAUUAAAAGAAAUAAAAUAUUAAAAAGCCAGGUAAAUGGAAAAUACUCAUAGAGUCUGAAUACUAUAUGUUAUACUGUUGUCUUAAAUUGUUUCAUUGCUAAAGAAAGAACUACAGCUGCUAAAAGAUAUUGAUUAUAAGUGCUGCUAAAUUAAUCCAACUUAUACAUUUUUAAAAUGCUUUGACUUCAAAAUUUAAAUCUGGGCUGGAGACAUGGCUUAGUGGUUAAAAGCAUUGACUGCUCUUCCAGAGGACCCAGGUUCAAUUCCCAGCAUCCACAUGGAAGCUCACAACUGUAAUUCCAGUUCCAGGGGAUUUGACACCUCCACACCAAUGAAUAUAAAAUAAAGUUAAAUUUAAAAAAAAUUAUGUCUCAGGACUGGCUACUUGGGAAAGAAUUUCUGCUUUUGUUUCCACAGAAAAUAUAAAGCUAUGGAUGCCUUCCAGAGUAAUAUGGUUUGAUGAAGUAUGACCCCCCGAAACAGUGACCCAGGUGAUCCAACAUCUAAAACAGAAGAGUUGGUACAGCCUUAGAGACUACAAAAAAAGGACCUGGCCCUGUUUCUGUGUUUUAUCAUGAUCCCCAUGGUAUGGACAUCACCCCAAACCAGCAGGAAGCAGUUUGGAAUCAACAACGCCCAAAUUUCCCAAUGUUGUUUAUAAAUGUUUGUUUUCAUUUAAAUGGGGUUAGUUAUAAAUGGUAAUGAUCACAUUCAAUCUAUUCUUAAAGGAAAAAAGGGGAAUAGGAUAUAGAAAUGAAUGCUUUACCUUUGUAUGUAUUUUCAUUUAUUGAUACACAUUUAAGGUUAAUUUUGCUAUAUGUAAAUAUCUCUUGUUCGGUAUUGUGUUUAUACAGAUCUUUUAAAAUGUAAUGCAUAGUUAAAUACAGAUUGUAUAUAGUCAGGUAUAAUAGUCAAAACUUAUAGUUAGGUUACUUAGGUUGUCUAGAUAUACAAAGACAUAUUUGAGAUGUAUAGGUAUUCUUCAAACCUUUCAAAGACCCACAGAAUAAUGGUAUUUUAAAUGGUUUAGGAUUUUAAUGACAGUGAAACACAACUGUUCUUGGCACAUCAAUUACAUCAGAAAGGAGGAUGAGCAUUGAAGAAUUUUUUUAUGGAGUUUGCCUUCAACAUGGCAAGAUAAACCAUUUGGUCAAGAAACUACUCUUGCCUGGACUGUUUGAUAAACUGGACAUGUAGGACACUCAGGAAAGUGCCUACUGAACUUGCAAAAUAAGAGAGUUGUGAAGGGUUCCUACAUCAUGGAGAAGUAUGCCAGACACAUUGUGGCCUAUAGGCUGAAGAUGGAUGCCCCCACCUUACAGAGGAACUUUGGGUGACUCUCCAAGUAUCGGGAUGUCUCUGUCAGAUCCAGAGUUGAUAGGUUAUCCUUCUGUGGUCUUAAUGGAGUUGAAGACAGAUAGUUAUGUUUAUAGUUUUCUUUAGUUAUUAUAAAAGAUAAGCUACAUAUAAGACUUUGCCCUGGUGUGUGUGGGGGACUUUGAGAGCCAUCCCACUUGAAGGGAUGCGCUCUGUCUCUGGACACAUGGGGAGGGGCCUAGGCCCAGCAUAGAACGAUUUGGUGGACUUUGUGGAGCCCCGGUUGGGGGCCCCACCCUGCCUGGGGAGUGGUGGGUGGAUGCGAUGGGGGGUUGGUUGGAGGUGGGGGAGAACCAAUGGAGGUGAGGGGAGGGAGAAGGAGAGGGGACUUAUAUGUGAAACAAGCCUGUUCCCUAACUUAAAUUAAUAAUAAUAAUAAUAAUAAUAAGAAGAAGAAGAAGAAGAAGAAGAAGAAGAAGAAAAAGAAGAAGAAGAAGAAAGAAAGAAAAAAAGGUCUGUGUGUGUGUGUGUGUGUGUGUGUAUGUGUGUAAUUAAGUUGAAAAACACAGGAAGCAUGUAAAAAGGGUCCAAGAUAUCCGGGACGUUCUACUUAAUUAGAAAAAGACAAGAGGAACUAACUGUAAAGAUAACUCUUACCACCAGCUGCCUUGGUUCUGCCAUAAUUUUAGGUCCCCAAAAUAACACACACAGUCUUAUAUUAAUUACAAUGCCGCUGGCCAAUGACUAAGAUUUCUAACUUGCUUGCUCUGUCUUAAUUAUCAACCAUAACUAUUAAUCUAUUCAUCUUAUAAAGAAUCAUAUAGGACACCAGCGGCAUGCAUACUCUGCUCCCAGAUUUACAUGGCAAAACCUUUCUUUACUAAUUUCCCAGAAUCCUCCUCUCCUAGUCUCUCCUAACUUGUUUGUCUAUUGGCCAACCGAGCUUUAUUUAUUAACCAAUAAGUCAAACAUACAAAGAAGGACUUCCCCCAUAAUGCCCUCAUUCCGGACUCACAGGUCUCCUAGCCACGCCCAUCCGACCUUACCACUUCAUGGCCUUACUGCCUCCAAAAGACCCUCAAGGCUGCCAGACUCCUUACAGGUGCCCCCUGUAACCUGUGAGUCACUCUAAGUCUUUCUGUCUCCUCUAGUAAGAGGCAGCUGUCCAGUGGAGUAGUCCAUUCUAGGGGUGCUUGCCAUGUAUUUUACCUCUUCACACAGUGCGAAGAAGAAAGGGAUGGAACUCCUUCUCCUUGCACUUUUUUUUGAUGUUAAUAUAAGGUGAGCAAGGCUUCUGAAAUGAGCAACAUUAAGUCAAGAGUUUUGCCUGGGUAGGCUUGCAAGUCAUAGCACCCCUGCCACAUCAACUGGUAGGCAGCUUCUCCCUUGUCUUUCAACAAGCCUAGGUGUUCCCUCCCACAGAUGCAUAUGCAUAUGCAAACAGUCAGGCCAGGAAUUACAGUUCCUUUCUCCUCCUCCUUAUAUUCCUCUCUCCACCUAGCCAUGUCCUCUUGUCUCCACCUCCCAAGUGCUGGGAUUAAAGGCUUGAACUCUGUUAGUCAUUUAGACUAAUUCAAUUUUGUAUAGUGUUGGUUGGCCUGAUAUCAGAGAGAUCCAUCAACCUUUGUUUACUGAGUCCUGUGAUUAAAGGUGUGUUCCAACACUGCCUGACCAAGAAUGUGGCUGCUUUGCUAUUUUGAUCACCAGUGCCUUUAAUAAAUGAUAAAACAUAUAACACCACAGGUCUUGACAAACAAUAAUACUAUGGAUUUAUUAAUAUAAUUAAUUUGAGAAUUGUUUUUUAUUAUUUUUCAUUGGCAAUUGUUUUCAACCCACUGAGUUUAGACAGGCCCAUCUAGGCAACCACAGAUUUAGAACUGUCCUUUGGAACCUGAUGGGAUUAAUAAUGAGAUCACACAAGACUUAAGACAAACCUAGUAAUAGCCAGUAGUUUCACAGUAAGAAGUAGUGUCUCAUGGUCCCUCCCACAAACCACAAACUAAUUGUUGACAAGGCCUGUUGUGAUAUACUGUUUAUGAUUUCUUAAGACCACUGGAGAUCAAAAUAACAAAACAGCCAUACUCUUUGGCCAUAGAAAUGAGGCAGUGUUGGCACACACCUUUAAUCACAGGACUCAGUAAACUAAGGCAGAUGGAUCUCUCUGAUUUAAGCCCACCCAGGGCUAUACAAAAUUGAAUUAGUCUAAAGUAGGAAGAGAGUUCUUGCCUUUAAUCCCAGGGUUGGGACCACACACCCUUAAUCCCAGCACUAGGGAGGGGGAGAUAGGAGGAUAAGGAGAGGAAUAUAAGGAGGAGGGGACAGGAACUGAGAGCCUUUGCCUCUGAGGAUUCCUGGAGACAGGAUUGCCAUUUCAGCAGGAUAGAGGUAAGAUCUAUUUGUGAAAGACCCCCAGAUCCCUAAGGUCCUCAGGAUCCCAAGGAGCCCCAGAGACUCAGAAACCAGACCAAGAGCAGCAAAAGCAAGAGGGUUUAUUGAACAAAUGAGCAUUCGGGUGUCAGCAAUAUCAGUAAAGCUGAACACCCCAGCCAGGGGUGGAAGCUCCUUGUAUAGGAAAAAAUUGCAGAUCAGCAUACAGACAAGGGGCACAAAGUGAUUGAUUACAAAGUACUAUCUCAUGUUAGAGUGUUCACACAGGUGUGAUCUAAUUUUCUACAAAGGAAAAACCACAGAACAUACCCUGGAAAGUCCUUGAUUGUCUGUUGGCCAGCCAGGUGUGACCCAAAGAGGGUUGUCUUGGUGAUUUCCCCCGAAUAAACCAUAUGAUAUGCCCAGGGUAGGGCCAACUUCCUUGGAAUGGGCCAAGGCCUGUGGGAAACUUUUUCUCUCUGUGAACUAAAAUCUCUCAAAACCUUUUCCCUCAGGAAACUAAAACCUUUCAUUCCCCCACAGUUUUUGUGUGAGCUUUAAAUCCUAAAACAUAUGGUCCUUCUUGUUGUUUAAGAGCCUGAUAUUGCUGGUUAAGAACUAGGGUUUGGGUUAUAGAUAAGUUAUCCCUAAUAACUCCAGAAUGUUUAACAUAGAAACAGCACUCCUCUUUUACGGCAGUAAAGUGUCCACCUUCCUUAAGGAAAAGGAGAUCAAGUCCCCUUCAAAUCUAGAGGGCAACUUCCGCUAGAGAAGCCAAAGACAUUCCUAAUUUAGUGAUGCAUACUUUAAUGGCUUUAAUAUCCUCAUCUGUGGCUGUUUUUUAGCUCAUUAUAGUGGUGGGGUCCCUGAACCAGUGCUGAGGUUCCAGUGCCAACCCCGGUCGUCAUCUCUGCAUCCCCAUCAGGCAGUGAGAGAUAUUGUCCUUUCCCCAUGAAAGGGAAUUCCUUUUGAUUUAGCAUUUUACCAGGGAAAAUGAGUGACAUAUUCUUUUCUAUGCUACAUCCUGCUGACUUUGGGAUGAAGUUAGGGACCCAAGAAAGCUGAAAUGCUAGUCAAAUGCAAAAAAGAGAAUUUAGGCUAUGGGGAAUCCAUCAGGAGCUUCUGGUUGGCAGACUGUGUAGCAGAGAUAGAGGGUGUCCAUAUCAACUGGACUGGGUCACAUCCACAGCAAGUCUAGGGCUCACAGUCUUUAGGAUCAGGCUGUACUAUGCAACUGAUAUUCCUCUGCCAGAAGAGGAAAUCUGUUGAGACAUGUUUACCUUUAUUAAUGUAAAUAUCUGACAUGCAGGUGGUCCUAGGUUACCCUUAUAAAAGAGUUUUGUUUUUAAAACUCCAAAGAAUUUAGACCCAUGGGCUUAGAAGUUAUUUUAAGGCCUUUGUUAAACAUAGGUCAUUGUCUUACUGUACCAUAAGAAAUAAACAGUUUAAUUUUUUUAAUAACAUAUGGAACUUAUGGCUGUGAUGUUAAAUUUUAGCUCUUUUGAUUCAAGCAGAAAUAUUAACAAUACAACAGAAGCAUAAAUAUCUUAUAACCUUUUAAAUUUGAAAAAUUAAAAAUCUUUUAAUGUCUUUUUGUAAGAAUAUCAAAAAUAAAGCAUCCUUGAUGUGUUUAAAAUUAUUAUCAUCUGGGUGACUACUAAAUUAUGUUGUCAGUUCCCAGUGUUACUAGUUUUAACUUUUUGACAGAUUUAACCAUUAAACAGUUUUAAUAUUAUCAUUAAUAAAAAGACAUCUGAAUUCGUGAUAACCCAAAUUUAAUGACUAGAGCUUGGAGAUAAAUUCUGAGCUAUGUACACAAUUGACUGGCUGCUGUUAUAAUUACACAGUUAAAAUAUUUGAACCAUUUUUGUUUUUUGUUUGGCUUUUGGCUUAUAAUAAAAUUGAUGUUUAAACCAGAAAACAUAGAUAGAACCUUUUAACAAGUUUACAGAAUCCAUUUUUAGGGGGGAUAUACAUAAAAC